AAAAUUUAAUGACAAAAGAACUUUGAAGUGAAAAAUAUUAUUAACAUAAAUAUAAUUCAUUACAAAGAAAUCUAAAAUCAAAAAGGCAAAAAAUCAAUAGUCUAAAAAUAAGAUUACAUCAUAGAAGAAAAAUAAAAGUAACAUUACACAAAAGCACAAUUAAGUAAACAACAUGUUGUUGUUUCAUGAAUGCUUCAACUUCCUUAAAUUUGCUAUCUUCUUCCUUGAUUUUAACUUUUGAUCCUUGUUGUGCUAAGACAAUGUUGUAGUAGAAGAUGACUUUGAAGGUACCUAUCAUUUUUUUAUCUUUAUAAAAUUAAAGAUUUUUCCAAAAGUAUUUCACAAUUUGAUCAUCUAUUAUUGGUACAUCAUUUUUCUCUAUCUAUCAUUUGUCUUUGCAUGAUUAAAAAAAUAAUAUUAAUAAUAAAAAACUUGAGAAAACACUUAAUUGGUAUAGGAGAAUAAUCUUAUAAAAGAAAAUCUUAUUGCCAAAAUGAAAGAAUAGUAAAUAGCAAGGCAAAUAGCUAUAAAUAAAAAUAUUUAGGUAAGAAUGCAAAAUUAAUUAAAUUUUCAAUGAAACAUAUCCGCAAUCAAUUCUUUCAUCCAAUAAAAAAAAGGAAAAAAUUCUAAAUGAAAGACAGGAGAUUACAAGCACAUACUUGUUUUCAUUAUUACUUCAAAUUAACAAUAUAAUAAAAAAAUUACAAGCACAUAAUCAACCUCGAUUUACUUGCACAAAUUUUACAUCCAAAGCUCUGAACUUAAUCGAUUAAACAGUUGGUGUCAAACUUGAACUAAAUUAAAUUAUUAAGCAGUCAAUAAAUCAACAUUUACAGUACAAUAAAUAUAAAGUUGAAAGAAAUAAAAGAUUAAGUCAAAAAAUAAAAAUAAGAUAGGUUACACAUUUAGAUUUUGUAUGGAGACUACUUGAACCUUUUUCGCUCACUCUAAUACAUUUUCUUAAAUCGAGGAAACUAUCUCCAUACUUUUUUGUUAUCCCAAUACAAAAGAAGAUAAGCAUAUUAAUUUUGACUAAACAUACAACGACCACUUGGGGAAAAAAAAAGGCUUUUUGACCUUUAUUUAGUCACUUCAUCUACACUUCCUAGCAAAUCCAACAAUAUGUUCAGCAAACUUUAGCAACCCAAGCUUCAAAAUCGUCCUUCCAACCAACACAUGUGUUUUAUAAUUAAAAGUUUGUAGCUUCACUUAUUAUUAUAUCGGCUGGACUCGAAUAACUUAUUAACUCUUUUUACUAUAUUAAUACUAGCUAUAAUUAUCUUUAAAAAAAUAAAGAAAGAUGAUUAAUUACAUACCAAGUUGAAGUGAACAAAAAUUAGAAAGAUCCCAUUUUCGAAAGUUCUUAUGAAAGAAUAUUAGGGAAAAAAAAAUCUGAUAUCAGCACGCCUAAACCCACUGCUCAAAUUGAAAAACCUUUUACUAGAUUCUCUUAGGAAUUGCAAAAGUUUCUCAAAACCUACUAAACUUUGCUUCAAAUUCCUUCAUUUAUUUGCACAUAUUUUAUGUUUUUCUUUUACUAGAUUCUCUUAGGAAUUUUAUCAAGCACCUGAUAAGCAUAAAAAUAUUCAAAUAAUAGAUCUAGGAAUUUCAAUCCCUAAUUUUACCAAACACAAAAAUAUGAAUUUCACAAUUUCGAAGUAGAAAAUAGAUCUAAGAAUUUCAAUCCCUAAUUUUACCAAACACAAAAAUAUGAAUUUCACAUAAUCCAAUCACAAUUAAACUAAUCAAAAUUAAAUUGGCUGAGUUUAUAUAUACUCACAAUUUCGAAGUAGAACGAGCUGUUAUCAUCAUUCACACACACACGCGCAUAAAUUGGAAAGGAUUACAAAAGAUAAAGAUGGGUAGUUUUUUAAUACAAAACCAAUUAAAGUGAAGUGGCCUGGGAGAGAGUGGGGGGAAAUUAAAUGGUUUUGUUUGGAUAACAACAAAAUUGGCCAGGGUGUUUGGAUAACAACAAAAUUGGCCAAGGAAUCAGUGGGAGGGGAAUUAUUUGUAUUUCACGAUUUCAUUAGAGAAACUUAUGUUCUAUUUAAGUUUAGUUAUUCUUUUAUUUUAAUUUUUAUCCAAU
rnacentral:lncRNA from 1 species